GACGAACGCUGGCGGCGUGCUUAACACAUGCAAGUCGAACGGACAGGCACUGCUUUUGCGGCGUGCUCGAUUGGCGCACGGGUGAGUAACACGUGAGUAACCCGCCCUUGACAUUGGGAUAACAUCAGGAAACUGGGGCUCAUACCCGGUAGGAGCUCCUGCUGCAUGGGGGGGGUUGGAAAGUUUCGGCGGUUGGGGAUGGACUCGCGGGUUAUCAGCUUGUUGGGCGGGUAGUGGCUUACCACGGCUUUGACGGGUAGCCGGCCUGGGAGGGUGAACGGCGACCUUGGGACUGAGAGACGGCGCAGACGCGUACGGGAGGCAGCAGUGGAGAGCAUUGCGCAGUGGGCGGGAGCCUGAUGCAGCAACGCCGCGUUCGGAAUGACGGCCUUUGGGUUGUAAACAGCUGUCGCCUGUGACGAAGCGUGAGUGACGGUAAUGGGUAAAGAAGCACCGGCUAACUACGUG
rnacentral:rRNA from 1 species